AGAUUAAUUAUUCACUAGGGUGGUAAAGCCUUUACUCAGUCCUGUAGACUGUUUUGUGAAGGAAAAGACAGAGGAAAGGGGCAGAGAGAGGGAGUGAAGGUGUUUCUUUAGAAAGGAAAAAAAAUCACUGACAGGAGUUGGAAAAAGACCAAAAAAAAAAAAAAAAGAUAAAAUUUAAAUUGAAGAGUAAACAAAAUUCAAACCUGCAGAAAGCAAAAUGGAAAGAAAUGGAGGAGAGGAAGGAAAUGAAACCAGGACUGAUUUGUUGCUUUUCUAUCAGAUGAGUCAGAAGAAGGCUGGGUCUGAGCAGGUUCCCGUUUGGAGGCCCAGCUUACAAAAACCAUUGUGAAGCUGACCUGGGCCUGGAGUAAACACACACUUUCUCCUUGGAGCACCUUCUGCUCAGCCUCUCUGCUCUGAUGAACGGGAGGAGCAGAUGUGAACAGCAGCUUUUAAGUGAUUCGGUGGGAACUGGACACGGUUCACACAUGGAGGAAGAGGGAGGGGAGAGUGAAGCAGGGAUCGCUUUUCCUCAGAAAGUUCCUACAUAAAUAACAGCAAGAGCUCCAGGUUCAAACUCUUACUCUCAGAACCAGCAGCAACUUGGACGGAGGAAAAGGGACUGGGCAAGGAACCCCUCAGGUGGCUCUGCUGCAGGCUGAGAGCAGUGUUUGAUUUUCAAGAUAGUGCCUGUGGAGACCGGUGCAAGCAAGAUGAUCUCGCCUUGAAGAUUCAUGUGAUUUAAACAAAUCUUGAAGCGACAGGAAAGCAAAUGGAAUAACUUUCAUUACCCACACAAUGAUUGUGUGCAUCUUAAUUGAUGGAUAUUUAUGAAUGUGCUGUGUCAUCUCCAAAAGAAAGUUGUUACAGAGGAAAGAUGCCAUGAAAAUGCCAGGUUUUCCUGUUAUAAUAUAAAUCUUACACCAUGUACA